GCCGGAGUGGCGGAAUGGCAGACGCGAUGGACUCAAAAUCCAUUAUCCAUAACGGGUGUGAGGGUUCGACUCCCUCCUCCGGCACCA
rnacentral:tRNA from 1 species